UAGUAAAAGUCCAGUAAUUGUGGUGGU
rnacentral:sRNA from 1 species